GAACUAACAAAGCAGGGAGUAAGAUUUCAUAAUCAAGUGUUGAAAAGAAACUUUGCAGUAGAAGUCAACAGACAGUGGAAGGGGAAAGAAAAAAUAACAUAAAAAAAAACAAAAUGGUAUAGUGGAAAAAGAAUAUUUUUAAAAAAAUGAGAUAGGGAUUUUAGGAGACAAAUUAGCAUCCCACUACUAACCACCUCGCACUAACCAGAAUCCCAACGUGACCCCACUACUACUACACCACCAACCCACAUGGAAAAAAAUAAAUAUACCCCC
rnacentral:lncRNA from 1 species